UCCGUGUCAGUUGCAUUGAAUGCAGCMCCUAAAGUGGAUUUAUGCGCCUUCCUAAGCAGGUCAURCAGGCUUAAAAGCUGUACCACAGAUCUGCUAAAGGAAACACUGGCAGGAAACAGAGAAAAACAUGGCCRCUCCUUUUCUGUUCAUCCUGCUCCAUCUGCUUUCAACCUCCGCCGAUGAUUGCAAGAGCCCUCCACAUAACAGUCUCACUUGCUACAAUGAUUACAGUCAUAAUAUCAGCUGCACAUGGAAAAGCUCACGUCAUAAGAAUGAUGCCUGCUCAAUAUAUGCUGAACUGCCC